rnacentral:rRNA from 1 species
GGUGAACGCUGGCGGCGUGCCUAAUACAUGCAAGUCGAGCGAACAGACAGGGAGCGUUCUCCUCUGCCGUUAGCGGCUGGCGGGCGGGUGACACGUGGAUAACCUACCUCUAAUACUGGGAGAACUUCGGAGAGCAGGAUCUGAUAACAGCUAAUAUAUUGUACGGCAGGGUUCAAUAGUGCAACACGCUUUUCCUGUCACUUAUAGAUGGUUCCGCGCUGCAUUAGCUAGUUGGUAAGGUAACGGCAUACCAAGGCAACGAUGCGUAGCUGACCUGAGAGGGUGAUCGGCCACACUGGAACUGAGACACGGUCCAGACUCCUACGGGAGGCAGCAGUAGGGAAUCUUGGGCAAUGGGCGCAAGCCUGACGCAGCAACGCCGCGUGAGUGAUGAAGGUCUUCGGAUUGUAAAGCUCUGUUAUUGGGAAAGAACAACAGUAUAAGUAAAUCCGCACGUUUUGACGGUACCUAAUGAGAAAGCAACGGCUAACUUCGUG